rnacentral:rRNA from 1 species
UACGAAGGGGGCAAGCGUUGUUCGGAAUGACUGGGCGUAAAGGGCGCGUAGGCGGUUCGUUGCGUCAGAUGUGAAAGCCCCGGGCUCAACCUGGGAACUGCAUUUGAUACGGGCGAGCUUGAAUCCAAGAGAGGGUGGUGGAAUCCCCAGUGUAGAGGUGAAAUUCGUAGAUAUUGGGAAGAACACCAGUGGCGAAGGCGGCCACCUGGCUUGGUAUUGACGCUGAGGCGCGAAAAGCGUGGG